ensembl:lncRNA
AUGUUAAUGUCAUUUAAAUAUAACAAUAAACCAUUUAAGAAUUGUAUAGUAAUAAUGAAGUAUAUGACCAUUCCCAAAGAUGUUUUGAAGACUGUUCCUACUGUAGAACAAGGAAGAGAAAAUAAAUCUAUAAACAUAAAAGAAAGAAAGAAAGAAAGCCCAGUGAUAAAUUUGAAGUGUUAAUUGGGUAGAGAAAAAUAGAAAUUGUUUUGCUCGUAUCAGGAAUAUAAUUCUGGAAUUUUGUAAAUUUGCACUAGUGAGAAAAAGAAAAUCACUUUUAAUAUCCCCUGAGUCUAAAGAGGUUCAUCAUAGCACAGGCUACUCAUAUGUUGAUUUUGCAUAGAUUUUAUAGCUUAACAAAUGUUUUCAUAAAUAUUAUCUUAGUUCUCAAAAGAAACCAAUGUUGCACAUACAAGUCAUUAUAGCUACUUUACAGAUGUAGUAAGCAAGAAUCACAUGUGAAAGUCACAUAGUUUAGUACAUAUUUGAAUUCAUUUUAAUUUUAGUCCCUUGACUCCAGGGCCAGAGUUACUUCACUCCAUUCUGAUUCUCAUUGUUUGUGUUUUCUUCAUUUGAUUCAAAAAGCUUGAACCUUCUAAAUGAAGCCCAGUGACCCGAUUAGGUCACCACCACCAAUUCUCCUUAUGUUUUUGGAAACAUCUCAGAACUAAAUGUACUAAUCCAAGGCCAGUUUAAAUUCAUGUCCUUGUGAUUCUAUUUUCAGAUAAUUUUUGUUUUCCCAAGUGGCAAAGAUACUGUUUACAUUUUAAUUCAUCUUCCAGAAAGAGAUAUCUACAUUGUAUAUGGGCAACAUUUAGCCUGAGAUGCAGUACAUGAGACAUGGUGGCAAAAUGUUUCCUUACCAAUUGCAUGGAUUGAAAAACCUAUGUCUCAGUCCUGGGCAGGUGACAGACUUGCCACUUAUACACAAAAGUCCCGGGAGUGAGAUAAUGAUUAUGCAAGACUAAAGUGACUCUUAUUUUUAGGGUCAUUUGAAAACCUGCCUACAGAGGACAGGGCCGUAUCUCCUUUAACAUUGCAUAUCUAAGCUAAUACAGUGCCUGGGACAAAAUGCAUGCUUAGUAAAUUCUUGUUGAACAAUUGAAUAAAUGGUUUUAAUCAGUCUCAGCAGGCCUCCAGCACUCAUAAAAGACUACAUAGCCUUUAACAUCCAAUUCAGCAAUCAUUCAUUCAGCCAGUCAACAAAUAUGUAAUGAGUACCUUUAUGUUCCAUACUGAUACAGGAAGGCUGGGCUCCUGGCCAAAUCCCACCCUUAAGCCUGGAACUGUGGUCCUAUGUGAAAAUAGCUGAUCCUCCUUUUCUGCCCAAAUGUUGCUUUUUUGGCCUACCAUGCCCCGAUCCUGUGCCCAUAAAAAGACUUCGAUUUACAUCCAUGACUGCAUGCAUCAGCCACUUGUGUUGCUCUGCCAGCUGAAGUUUUUUUAUGGGCACAGGAUGGAUGAAAAAGGAUUAUUCCCUUGAACUUGACCCCUUCAUGGGCAGGAACUGGAGUAGCUCAUUUCACUUAGCCUGCCGCUGGCCACACCUCACAAGAGGGAUUGUGCAAACAAGAGAGUGCAAGAACCAGAGGGAAGGAAUGCUGAAAGUGGCUGGUCACUC